AACGCUAGCGGCAGGCCUAACACAUGCAAGUCGAGGGGUAUAGUUCUUCGGAACUAGAGACCGGCGCACGGGUGCGUAACGCGUAUGCAAUCUACCUUGUUCAGAGGGAUAGCCCAGAGAAAUUUGGAUUAAUACCUCAUAGUGUUAUUGAAUGGCAUCAUUUAAUAACUAAAGUUCUAACGGUACAAGAUGAGCAUGCGUCCCAUUAGUUAGUUGGUAAGGUAACGGCUUACCAAGACAAUGAUGGGUAGGGGUCCUGAGAGGGAGAUCCCCCACACUGGUACUGAGACACGGACCAGACUCCUACGGGAGGCAGCAGUGAGGAAUAUUGGACAAUGGGCGCAAGCCUGAUCCAGCCAUGCCGCGUGCAGGAUGACUGCCCUAUGGGUUGUAAACUGCUUUUAUACAGGAAGAAACACUGCUACGUGUAGCAGCUUGACGGUACUGUAGGAAUAAGGAUCG
rnacentral:rRNA from 1 species